AUUGAACGCUGGCGGCGUGCUUAACACAUGCAAGUCGAACGAAGUGGCGAACGGGUGAGUAACGCGUAAUCAACCUGCCCUUCAGAGGGGGACACCAGUUGGAAACGACUGCUAAUACCGCAUACUGAAGGAGGGGAUUGCGUCUGAUUAGCUAGUUGGAGGGGUAACGGCCCACCAAGGCGAUGAUCAGUAGCCGGUCUGAGAGGAUGACCAGCCAAAACGGAACUGAGAAACGGGCCAGACUCCUACGGGAGGCAGCAGUGGGGAAUCUUCCGCAAUGGACGAAAGUCUGAAGGAGCAACGCCGCGUGAGUGAUGACGGCCUUCGGGGUGUAAAGCUCUGUUAAUCGGGACGCGGUACCGGAAUAGAAAGCCACGGCUAACUACGUGCCAGCAGCCGCGGUAAUAC
rnacentral:rRNA from 1 species